CAGGUGGUUGUCCCGUUAUUAGGGGAAACAAAUGGUCUUCAACGAAAUGGAUGCAUCUUGAGGAGUACAAGGUCUAAGACACUACCUGUACGGGUACAUCUUGAGAUCAAUAGGAAAAUAGGAUUCACGUAUAUUCCUUGCUAGACUGCCUAGUGACAUUUUUGUCUUCUGAGGUGCCUCCGUAUUCUUUUUCCCCUGUACAGAACAAUAAUGCUUGGUGAUUUGUGUGGCGAGCAUGAUCUUAGCGUUGCUUUUUUCAGCACCAGGUUUGCCAGGUGUUUUUGAUUGUUGAACAAACUGAAAAGCAAUACAUUGUUGUCAUUUUCCUUUCUAUCGCACGUUAUUUUUAUC